rnacentral:tRNA from 1 species
ACUCUAAUAGUUUAGAAAAACAUUGGUCUUGUAAGCCAAAGAUCGAAGACUUACCCCUUCUUAGAGUU